AGCGAACGCUGGCGGCGUGCCUAACACAUGCAAGUCGAACGUGAACGGAGCAAUCCUAGUAAAGUGGCGUACGGGUGAGUAACACGUAGGUAAUCUACCUUACAGUCUGGAGUAACCUGACGAAAGUCGGGCUAAUACUGGAUAGAGCGACGGAAGCCGUAACGGUUUUUUCGGGAAAGGUAGCUCGAUAAGAGCCUUCGCUGUAAGAUGAGCCUGCGUCUGAUUAGUUAGUUGGUGGGGUAAUGGCCUACCAAGACGAUGAUCAGUAGCUGGUCUGAGAGGAUGAUCAGCCACACUGGAACUGAAACACGGUCCAGACUCCUACGGGAGGCAGCAGUGGGGAAUCUUGCGCAAUGGACGAAAGUCUGACGCAGCCACGCCGCGUGAGUGAAGAAGGCCUUCGGGUUGUAAAGCUCUGUCACCUGGGACGAAAACACUUACGGUUAAUAGCCGUAGGAAUUGACGGUACCAGGGGAGGAAGCACCGGCUAACUUCGUGCCAGCCGCCGCCGUAA
rnacentral:rRNA from 1 species